GAAAUGUGAUAAUCAAAUUUAAGCUUCUAACUUAUAAUUUAAGCAGUGCAAUUCUGUUUACAUUUCU
rnacentral:tRNA from 1 species